rnacentral:rRNA from 1 species
AUGAACGCUGGCGGCGUGCCUAAUACAUGCAAGUUGCGCGAACGGACGAGAAGCUUGCUUCUCUGAUGUUAGCGGCGGACGGGUGAGUAACACGUGGAUAACCUACCUAUAAGACUGGGAUAACUUCGGGAAACCGGAGCUAAUACCGGAUGAUAUUUUGAACCGCAUGGUUCAAAAGUGAAAGACGGUCUUGCUGUCACUUAUAGAUGGAUCCGCGCUGCAUUAGCUAGUUGGUAAGGUAACGGCUUACCAAGGCAACGAUGCAUAGCCGACCUGAGAGGGUGAUCGGCCACACUGGAACUGGGACACGGUCCAGACUCCUACGGGAGGCAGCAGUAGGGAAUCUUCCGCAAUGGGCGAAAGCCUGACGGAGCAACGCCGCGUGAGUGAUGAAGGUCUUCGGAUCGUAAAACUCUGUUAUUAGGGAAGAACAUAUGUGUAAGUAACUGUGCACAUCUUGACGGUACCUAAUCAGAAAGCCACGGCUAACUACGUG